rnacentral:misc_RNA from 1 species
GAAGUGCGAUAAGCAAUGCGAAUUGCAGAAUUCCGCGAAUCAUCAGAUCUUUGAACGCAAAUGGCGCCGGAGGGAUAUCCUUUCGGCAUGUCUGUUUCAGUGUCUGAGAGGUUUCACCAAGAUCUUAAUGUGAUUGACGGGGUGACAGUGUGUGUGUGUGUGUGUGUGUGUGUGUGUGUGUGUGUAACUCGUUUACUACUACUACUACUACUACUACCACAGUCAAACCAUCUCUCAUGAAAGAUGGGUACGUGGAUCUUUCGGUCCAAUGAAGUGGUCACAUCACUCGCAUGUGAUUUCAUUGGAAAAUCACCGAAUUAUCCGUAUACGUGCCGUAACUUACGACAACAACCAAACCUUCCCUACCCUGCAUCUGAGAUAGGCAAGAUCACCCGCUGAACUUAA